GGGUCCGUAGUUUAAUCUGGAUCGAAUUUUCGGUUUCGGCCCGAAGGAUCCCGGUUCAAAUCCGGGCGGACCCG
rnacentral:tRNA from 1 species